rfam:Halanaerobium saccharolyticum subsp. saccharolyticum DSM 6643, type strain:DSM 6643, WGS project CATI01000000 data, contig: c4
UAUAUGGAGAGUUUGAUCCUGGCUCAGGACGAACGCUGGCGGCGUGCUUAACACAUGCAAGUCGAACGGUCUACCUCGACUGAAACCUUCGGGUUGACGACGAGAUCUAGAUAGUGGCGGACGGGUGAGUAACACGUGAAUAAUCUGUCCUCAAGUCUGGGAUAACCUGGCGAAAGUCGGGCUAAUCCGAGGUAAGCUGAGAGUGUGGCAUCACACAAUCAGAAAAAGGUGGCUUUGCCAUCGUUUGAGGAGGAGUUCGCGGUAGAUUAGCUAGCUGGUGAGGUAACGGCUCACCAGGGGCAACAAUCUAUAGCUGGUCUGAGAGGACGAUCAGUCACACUGGAACU